rnacentral:lncRNA from 1 species
GGGGACAAGCCGAAUCGUGAGAAGAUUGCAGGGCGGAUUCGGUUGAUCGGCCGGGACACAGUCCAGACCACACCCGACUCGGGGUUGAAGAAGAGAAGGGUGACUGACGAGCGGGCCCGAGGCGUCAGCGACUCUGGGCGGUGGUCCUCGCGUCGGGGAAAGAAAGGAGAGGGGAAGGGAGAGGAGCGCUCGUGGGCUGCUGCGGGCCGUGCUUGGGCCGCUGCUGAGAAAGGAUUUGUGGCUUGGGCCGGCCUACUUGUGGCCCGAGAGAGAGGGGGGAGGGUUUGGGGGUCUUCAGGCCGAAUAGAGAGAGGAGGGGGAGUGGCCUUCGGCCCACAAAGCAGAGGGGGAAGUUUUUCCUUUUUCCUUUGUUUGUUUUUUUCUUUUAUUUCCAAACCAUUUGCAAAUUAGUUUGAAACCAUUUUGAACUUUGCUCAAAGUCACACAUUAUAGUGAAAAUAAAUGCUUCAAAAUGAAUGCACAAACAAGUUGCUAAAUCCUAUGAUAAAUUUUAUUGAAAUGAAAAAUAUUAUUUCUCUAUGUUUCAUGAGCACAAAAAUACAAAAUUAAAUCAUUUUCCACCUAUUUCAAGAGCUGUAAAUUUUAGGGUGUUACACCAGUGCCGUCGUCCGUCCGGUGCCGGUGUCUUGUUGUGCCGUUGCGGUCGUGGUGCUGUCUUUCAUCUGCCGCCGCCGGCCACAGUCCACACUCCAUGGAUUUAGAUUUUAGAAUGGGAGGACUGGAAGAGCAAAGAGACGGAAUAUCGAUCCAAAUUGGUUAUUCCCUUCGUGGCUCCGUUCUGAUCUUCUGGGCGACUACCGACUGGGCUUAUGGCCCAUCAAGUGGAAGCGGAGGGAAUAGGCCAGGAGCCCAGGACAGAAGUGCAGCCGGAUGCUUUUGGCCAACAGCAAUGGUCAUGUAUGUACACACUAGUCAUGUAUACAUGUAUAUAUACCACAUAUAUUUGAUUUUUUUAAUAUCAUUUAGGUAGCCAUAUUGUUGCCUCCACCACAGCCGGGGCCAAGC